rnacentral:rRNA from 1 species
GACGUAGGGGGCCAGCGUUGUUCGGAAUUACUGGGCGUAAAGGGUUCGUAGGCGGUGUAGCAAGUCGGGAGUGAAAUCUCUGGGCUUAACCCAGAGGCUGCUUCCGAAACUGCUGUGCUUGAGUGUGGGAGAGGCGCGUGGAAUUGCAGGUGUAGCGGUGAAAUGCGUAGAUAUCUGGAGGAACACCGGUGGCGAAGGCGGGGUCCUGGGCCAGUACUGACGCUGAGGAGCGAAAGCGUGGGGAGCAAACAGG